AUUGAACGCUGGCGGCAGGCUUAACACAUGCAAGUCGAGCGGAGAGAGGUAGCUUGCUACUGAUCUUAGCGGCGGACGGGUGAGUAAUGCUUAGGAAUCUGCCUAUUAGUGGGGGACAACAUUUCGAAAGGAAUGCUAAUACCGCAUACGUCCUACGGGAGAAAGCAGGGGAUCUUCGGACCUUGCGCUAAUAGAUGAGCCUAAGUCGGAUUAGCUAGUUGGUGGGGUAAAGGCCUACCAAGGCGACGAUCUGUAGCGGGUCUGAGAGGAUGGUCCGCCACACUGGAACCGAGAAACGGGCCAGACUCCUACGGGAGGGAGCAGUGGGGAAUAUUGGACAAUGGGCGCAAGCCUGAUCCAGCCAUGCCGCGUGUGUGAAGAAGGCCUUAUGGUUGUAAAGCACUUUAAGCGAGGAGAAGGCUACUUUAGUUAAUACCUAGAGAUAGUGGACGUUACUCGCAGAAUAAGCACCGGCUAACUCUGUGCCAGCCGCCGCGGUAAGAC
rnacentral:rRNA from 1 species